rnacentral:tRNA from 1 species
GGCCUGGUAGCUCAGUUGGUAGAGCAGAGGAUUGAAAAUCCUUGUGUCGGUGGUUCGAUUCCGCCCUAGGCCACCA